UACGGGAAGGGCAAGCGUUAUCCGGCGUGACUGGGCGUAAAGAGUCCGUAGACGGUAAAGUAAGUUUAUUGUUAAAUGUUAAAACUUAAUUUUAAUAGAGCAAUAAAUACUGCUUUACUUUGAGUUUAGUAUAGAAAAGUAGAAUUUUAUAUGGUAGGGGUGAAAUCCGUAGAUAUAUAAAGGAAAUGUCAAUAGCGAAGGCAACUUUUGGUAUAAACUGACGUUGAGGGACGAAAGUGUGGGGAGCAAACAGG
rnacentral:rRNA from 1 species